UUAAAAUAGCCAAGUAAAACAGGAAGCAUGUCUUUUUCUUUUUGCUGCAGUUCUAAUUCAGACUGGAAUAAUUCUAUAGUACGUUUAAAAGUGAAAAAUAAGUCACAGUUUCGGCAGAGCGGCUGGCUGUUAUGAUAAAUCUCCUCUGAAGCAGACGUAUUCCAGUUCUACUGAAGUGAUUGUCAUCAAGGGGUUGUUUGCUGUGGUGCUCACAGAUGGCAGCAAAGACAGCCCAGGAACGCAAACAGCCUGAUAAUCAAGAUAGCCUGAAAAUAUGGCAGAACAGGCACUCCACUUGGGGAUGCCAACUGAAUAGAAAUUAAAUGAACUGCUCGACCACAAGUGCCUGAGGAAUUGCAGAGCCAGUUGGAGGUAUCGACUCUCCCUGCCUGCCUGUGAGAGAGAAAAAACAAGGGGAGCGACACAGAAAGCCAAAGGCACCGAGGGUUAGACAGCCCCUGUGCCUCCUCAGCUUCUCAGAGCACAACAGCAAAGUUCCAUAGAGCCUUCUGCCCAUCCAUUCUUCCUGCCUCCCAGUCACUUGCAGUUGGUUUGAUGCAUUCAGAUUGGGCCUUUGAUCUCAUUGUAACUUGGAGAUGACACCUUGCAAGCAGGGGGAAGAAAAGUCAUCAUAAGGACAGGAGGUCUUCACUGGGAAAUCUGUCCCUUGAAAACAACAAAUGCCUCCCACAUUUCAUUAUGCCAGUGCUCAUGGAUCUCAAGUAAGGACUGGCUUAAAUGGAAGACAAAAGGACCUUAAGCUCUAUGUGAUGGUAAGGUUGAGGAAUAGAAGGCAGUGCUCUUGGUGAAAUCUAAGAUGGGAACAAUGAAGCUACUGCAACAGAUUGACUAGAGCACAUCAGUAGCUCUUAGAACCAUGCAUUGAUUCUGACCACUGUAAGACUGCAGCUUCCAGCCAUGCUGGCCUUUGACCAUUGGCUUGCGGUACUUCUACCUGGGCAAGGAGAGGAGCACCACCGUGAGCAACAGAGCACAUGGCCCACCACUCCAGAGCCUGAAGCCAAAGCUCUCAGAGGAAAGCCUCAGUCAGUAGCUGGUGACAGUUUGAAACCCUUGUUUCCUGUGUCCCUGAGUCCAAAUGUGUGGAUGAAGAUCAUAGCACAUAAUUCCGCAAGUGAGGAAAAUAACACAGAAAGGGAAACUGUCCCUCUCUAAUCACCUAAUGACAGAUCUAGGAAGUGAGCUCCAGCUUUCUGUUUUAAUAAGCCUGAUCACAACACAUGCCAGCCAGCUGCCUUAUUCUCCUUUCAAAGAAGGAACAGUGUCUGUAUUUCAAGAAAGGAGAACAUCUCUUGUCAGAGGGGAAGGUGUUGCUGUGUAAAUUUGUAUUUUAUUAGGUCACUAAACUGAAAUUCAAGAGAUAGGAAAAUCAGCAAAAACAAACAAGUCCUUAAAAGAGAGAUAAUAUUGAAACCGUGGCAGUGUCUGAAACUGAACCAAUCUGCAUGUGUAGUAAUAAAGACGUAGCGAUACCAA